CUUCCCAAAGCAUGAUCAAAACCCAAAAGUAAAAACCGCUUGAAAUCACAAAAUCAUUCAACAUAUUUUAAUCUUUCAUAUUCGAUUUUGCCCAUCAAUUUUCUGGCUCAUUUUUACUGAUUUUUUAAUUCUCAUAGUCUGGGUAAGCCACCGCAUUUCUACUCCUGUUUCAUUUCGUUUCUGCAGGGUUUUACUGUUUUUUUUCAUCAAUCUUUGAAGAUUUUGGUUGGAAUUCAUGUAUUUCAUUGCUAGGUUUUGAUACAAUUCAGAGAUUGGUUUAGGAUUACCAAUGAAUUAGAACAAGUGUUUAGAAGACUCCAAGGAUGAAGAGAAAGAACUUGGUUUAUUAUUCUGAAUUUGAUGAAUUGAGAAACACUGGAGGACUCCUUAUAUAGGGAGACUAACUAAUGCAAGAAACAAGAAAUCAAUAAAAGGAAAUUAACUAACUGAAUAACAAACUAAGGAACAAUACAAGAGCAUAAAUCUAUUUAAGUAAUGUCUGGGAGUAUAACUUCAUCAGGUUUCGCGUGGGUUUGAUUAUCAAGUUAGUGAGAAAUUUUCAAUUGAAGGGUUUUGCGUUUCAUGUAGCGAAGGUAAGGAUAAAAUAAUUAUGGUUCUUUGUAUUUAAAUUUUAAAUUAAUGUUGUAUUAAUUGUUGUGUUUGGAUAACGGGAAUUAAGCCCCUGAAAGUGAAAUCAACCAUUAGUCUAUUCGUGAUUAUUUGAUCCUUUGAAUUUGAAACAAAGGUAUAGGCGUAUAACUGUUUUAUUAAAGCUUUAAUGGGUGGAUAAAACAAAAUAACAUGUUCAUGGAUAAGAUAAAGACAUAAUGUAAGUUUGCAUGCUCCUAUUUGGGUCAAAAAUUGGUUCUAAGUGGUAAAAAUAUGGAUAGAUCUAAGUAUAAAUUUUGAGAUUUAGAUUCGACAUUAGACUCUAAUUAUGAUUUACAUGUAAAACCUAAUGUAAUUGAUGCCUGGAGGGUUGGGCAUGUUGCAGAUUUUUUUGCCGUGGGAAGUAUAUUGCAUGUUUGUUGCUAGUGGGUGCUUGUUAUAUGGCUGUAUCUGGUCUAAGGUCUAAGGAUUUCUUGGUUGGUGUUAGAAUAGGAACAUAUAAGAUAUCUUAUGGAAAUUUAAUCAUCAUAUUGGGUGAUGAAAGUUGUUUAAAAUUUUUCAACUGCUAGCACAAAUGAUGACCCAAAAUCUGACUUAUGCAUCAGUAUAUUACAUUCUAGCCACCGGCAAACCCACCCUCCUAUGUGUUUCUCACUUUAGAUUGAAAUUAGCAAACAAACCAUUGGGAUUUUGGGUAUGAACCAGUGUUCAUCCUUAGUUUCAAAAAGCGCGCCGUGCGUUGCGCCCUGUGCGCCUUGAGCUCACGCUCAGCUGAAAACGCCUCAGCUAGGCGAGGCAAAGCCCACUAUAGAGGCGUGCACCUUAAGCGCCUUGAUGCGGUUCAUCAACUUUAGGGUUGCAGUUUGCAUAAUUGAACUAGAUAAAUGUGAAGGUUGAAAUUAAAUGUUACCAGCCUGCUUAAGGAAAUGAGGUCAAUAUGAUUAGGACAAAUGCUUAUAUCAAAUUUGCUCUGCAGUUUCUGAUUAUGAUGGAGCUUACCACCCUUUUUGUUGAUACUAGAAAAUCUCUUUUGAUGAUAUGAUCUAUAUCUUCUAUCUUAUUGAAGUAAUAGUGUAAUACACAUUCAUAAAGGAAAGCUGAUAGGCCAAUUAUGUGUUCACCUGUAUGCUUCCUUUUGGCAUUGGUGUUGAGGGAAACACAGCUGGUAUUGUAAUUUUCGAUAGUUUAGUUCUAUUUUUAUGCUUUGCAAUGUAUUUUUUUAGAUAAUUUGUUCAUUAUUGAUUAUAUUAUUAACAUUAUUUCUAUUUAUGUUACUCAAUUUUGCUUAAUAGCAUAGGAAUUAUUUUUAUCAUCAUCAUUGUCAUAGUAAUUGAUUUUAUUUUUGUUCAAUUUAGCUUAAUAGCAUAGGAAUUAUCUUUAAAGUUCUAGUAGAUAUUCAUAUUAGUAAUGCAAGCAUUUAUUUACCCAUUAAUUCUAUUAUCGUGAUGUUUUCAAUUAUACCACAUCGGAUAAAUAAGAAGCAAAUGUCAUAUUUAUAAGCAUCUACCAAACAUUAGAUGUUACGACCUUACUUGAACAGGAUCUGUUCUAUAGGCUCGUACCUCUGUAACCUUAGGUUCUAAGGAGACAGGAAACCAAGUCUGGUGGAUGAAUUAUAACCGUGCGAUCAGAGUGUGAUUAAUUGCUUCUGUUGAUCUAGGUCAUUCGGUGCAGUAGAGGAUCGCUUCCUAGUACAUCUGUACCCAGGGAUGAUCGCACGGUGUUCUGACAGACCAAAUUUUUUUUUAUUUUUGCUGCAGAUUGAAAUUUUUAUUUUUGCUGCAGAUUGAACUGAAACAUUGGUUUGCUUUCAUAUUUUUACUGAUUAUACAAAUUAUUGUUGCAAAAUAAAGUUUUGGGUUAUUUAUUUUUGAUUUGAAACAGAGAUGCAAAAUAAAAUGAUGAAUGGAAAAUUUGCAACAGGAACACCGUCGUUGGGAUGGUCUUGUGUGGUGAUUGUUUGUUCUCUUCUUGGUGGAGCUUCCAUUGUUCAUAACAUUUGCAAGCCUAGCCUUGUUAUUUUUCAAAAGUAAUCAUAGUUCGACUGAGUAAGGGAAGAGAAAGAGGAAGAAUAAAACAAUGUUGAUGGCUGCUGCAACUUCUACAUCAUCCGCACUCCGUGUCAGCAUCUUUAUAUGUGUGCAAAUAAGGAACUGAGAAGUGAGAAGGAUCCUGAAUCCUAGUGUUAUUUGGACUCUGCUAAAGAACAUUAUUGCAGAGGAGUUUGGAAUGUGCAAUGGAGGUCAGACUCACAGUUACGGUCCUUACGGAUUAAGUUUCAGAAAUAAGAGGUAAUAAGAGAUUAAAUAAGAAGAAUAUCCGAUGGAUAACUGAAGAGAGAUUGCAAAAUAAGAGCGAAAUUCAAGAAAAGGAAAUGCGAUGAUUGACAUCGGAUUUUGAGUACUGCAGAACUCCCCAAAAUGGUGCCUCUUGUAGGUAAUCAGGUGUCACCAUAGUCACCUUUUAAGUCCAUGAGCCUCCUUCAUGCACAUUUGCCCAGUCCAAUGGUAAGUUCUGUCGUUCUAUUAUGGCUUUGAUUCUCAUCUUUGCUUUAUCUUUAUUGUGAGGAAGUAUCUAACCUUGCAUACUUGAUUUGCAUGAUUGUAUUGGAUUUUGUUCUUGUAGACAUACAUGUUCAUAUAAACACACACGCAUACACACGCACAAUGAGAGAGACACAUAAAUGUAGAUUUGGGAUUUCAGUUGUUAUAAUUGAACUAGCUAAAUGUGAGGUUCAAAUUAAAUAUUACCAGCUUGCUAAAAGCAAAGAGGUCAAUAUAAGGUUCACCAAUCAUUCCUUUCUAGCCCUUCAGUCUUAAUAUUUGUUCUUUUUGAUACAGAGUUAAGUGAAGUCCAAUCAUAGUCUAUAGGAUGUAAUUGAAUGUAUAGUUAGGAGAAGUUCCUGUAUAAGAUUGCUUUCUAUUUAUAAACCAUAUUACGCAAAGGACUUUGGAGUUGAAUAUUGUGGCGGUCAAAUGUAAAUCAUGUUUUCCCUGCCUUAGAUAAUGUAUCAGUCUGUUUUCGUUCUCAUUGAUUCUUGGUGGUCUGGGAUGGAUAUGAUGUAUAUUUUUUGCCAUGGGAGUUUACAACAUCUUUUAUUGCUAGUGUUGCUUGUUACGAUAGCUGUAUCUGGUUCAAUGUCUAAGGAUUUGUGAGUUGAUGUUAGAGUAGGAACAUCUGGGAUAUCUUAUUGCAAUUUAAUAAUCAAGUUGGGUAAUGAAGACUUCAUGCUUGUAGUAAUUACUAUUCCAUGCUUAGAUCCCUUGAUCAGUUAGGGACUUAGGGUUGUGUAAAAUUCCCAACUAGUACAAAUGAUGACCAAAAUCUGGCUUAUGCAUAGAUGUAUUACAUCCUAGCCACUGAAGAAUCUACCCUCCUAUGUGUUUCUCACAUUAAUUGGGAGUUAGGGUAUAAAUCAGAAUUCAUCAACUUUAAUAGCCACUGUCCCACUAUUACCUCAAGGAUUAGUUCUUUGGUGUCUCCUGUGGCUGAUUUUUGGUACCUAGAGAUUAGUAGAGUUUGCCUGUAAUAUUACAUGUGGUUUUAAAGAUUUUGAAGACUUGUAUGGUUUUAAGAUUUGAGCUAGUUUUACAUCAGACUAAAGCCAUGUUGUAUGCUCCAAGUUUAGUAUUCUAAUUUUUCUGGUUGAAUGAGCAAUUUAGAGGGAGGAGAGAGCGUUUUGGUUAGCUAAAAGUUUGAGAUUAUGCUGACCCACAUUAGAGGGGAACUGAAGAGCCUAGAGCAAGCAAGCAGAUAAAACCAUGCAAAAGAUAUCAUGCAAAUCAUACCUUUCUCGGCCUUUUGGCUAAGAUCAAGUGUAGUAUCUGUUCUUAUCAGUUUAAUAUCUGAUACGUGGGCCAAUGGCCCACAACGAUAUUAAAUUAAUUUUUUAAGGGGGAAAACCCACUGCAGUUGCUUGCAACUGGGGUUUUCGCUCGUCGCCCAUGCGUUGCACUAUUGCACGGGCCAGGCGCACCCCACUAAUUAGAUUAAUAAAUUUAGUACUGUUUGAUGUCUGAUAUUGAUGUAAUUAUGCGUUUAACUAAUCAAAUUUUGAAUGUAAUUGCAUCAACCAUAUUUUAAAUGUGACUGAUGGUUACUGCCAACAAAAUUAUUCUGCUCGCAAUUUUAACUGUUUGAUCAAUGUUUUUGAAGGAGGAAGGUACACCAUAGAUGCAAGCAUCUGGGGCUUUUGUUCGUCGCCCAUGUGCACGGUCCAGGCGCACCCUACCAAAUCUCUAAAUAAAUUAUACGCCAAAUGAUCCAUACAUGUUACAACUUGUGUAUGAUCUUCCUUCUGGUCUAGCACUCGUGAGUAAAUAUAAACCGCCAAAAAUAUCUCCACGCCUAAGGUGUUGCCUACGGCAAACGUUUUACCCUUGGCGACUUUUACGUCAAUGCUACUCUGUGCACGCGUUCCUAUGUUGCGUAAUAAUUUUCCUUCUGCACAUCUCAAAGUCGUGGCUAUCAUUCAACCCCGCUACAUCCACGGACCCACACUCACUGCACCAACAAAAGCAUCGCCGCACAGUCCAACCAAAAAUCUGGCAGCUCUUUGCCUGUGUCAAUGUGAUAAAAUUGGCCACGAUUCUCAUAACUGCUACAAAUGGUUCACUUAUACUGUCCUACCCUGCACACCCGCCGAGUUCCGAAUCGUCCUCAAGCUUCGGCACAUCUCAAAGUCGUGGCUAUCAUCCAACCAUGCUACAUCCAAGCAUCCACACUCACUGUACCAACACAAGCAUCGAUUGCCCACACCAAUCAAGUGAUGGCAGAUCUUUACCUGUCAUUGUGAAUAAAUUUGCCACAAUUCUCGUAACUGCUGCAGUUGUUUCACUAAACACUGUUCUCCGACCCUGCAUACACGCCAGCUCCAACCCGUCCUCAAACUCGUCUAUGGUCCCUUUCCACCUAGGGCUAGUGUUGUGGGCUGCAACUGGGUAAUUUAUUUAAAACGUCGUGCCUAAAGGUUUUUUAAAUGCUACAAAGAUUGUUUACUUGCCAAGGGUUUCCUUCAAGAAAGGGCAGAUCAUUUUGAAACUUUCAGCCUUUUUAAUCAAAGGCACUAAAAUCUGGUUUGUACUUUCUCUUGUGUUUACGGGUGGAUGGUGUGAACAACACCUUGAAUAUGAGAAUCUCUGAAAUAUUUAACAUUACUCAACUUCCUAGCAUUUCUGAUUAGAACUGUCCUGACCAUGUUUUGAAAUUUGAACGCGUCCUCUAUGAACUUAAACAAGCCCCAUAGGACGUGUGUUCAACAAACUGCAUCAGCUUUUCAUUGAUUGCACGUUUUCGUAUUUUUCCAUCUCAUACAUUCUUGUUUAUUCAGUCCCUUACGUAUCCUUUUUUGUAUGUUGAUGAUAUAACUGGCACUGAUAUUGAUCCCAAGUUCAUCUCUAUCUUCACCACUCAACUUCACAACCGUUUUGGUCGCUUAGAUUCUGCUUAGUUAUAUAUACACAUCCCGACUCCCCUGCAAAUACCUUACUUUCCCCCUUCAUAAUAAACAUGGAGGUGACACCAAGAAAUGGAUAUACACAUGUAUGCGAUUUUGGUCAUCUACUUAUCAGUUGUGCCACGUUUUAUUUUGAGGAAGCAGCUUCUUCUUUAAAAUGGAAGUUCCAAUGCCUAUAACAGUGUUGGAUCAUGAACUAUUUCACAUGAAUACUCAUUUUAUGAGUUCAUGUGACAGUGUUACUAAUGUCUGGAAUUAGAAAUGUGCACAGUGGCUGCAGGUAGGGAUAAUCUCCAUCUUUAUGAGGUGGAGAUGACGGGGCUCAUUUAUUCAGACCUUAACAUUUUUUUUUAAUUUUGUCAUCGAAUAAGCUCUAAUCAUUAUUUCUAACUAGGUUUACAUUAGAGUAAUAAGCAUCUGAUAGUAGAAUACUUGAGCUAAGAUUGUGAGGUAAUGGUGGGAAUGUUUGAACGAUAAAUUUUCCAAUUUCCCUGCUUUAUACGAUGUCUCAAGAAAAUACAAGCUAAUUCUUAUGACAGAACAGAUAACACAGACGUCAUAAAAUGCAGCUGCCUUUGUUAGGUACUAGGUACCCUGAGGUUUGUUGGAUUGUGUGGGGCUGUAAUUCUACGAAUACGGGAGAAUGGAGAUAAAGACUAAUAUUGAUGUAACUAAUUUGUAAGAAAUGUGGGAUAAGGAGCAGGAAUAAGUUUCCAAAUGCCAACAAGUAAUAAGCUAAUUUGUCCCACAUUGAUAAUUUAUGUACAAAUCUUUCAAUUCAUAUAUCACGGUUUUCAUGUAUCUACUGUCUCUUCGGAGACAUCUGAUAAAAUUGGAACGAUACAGAGAAGAUUAGCAUGGCCCCUGCGCAAGGAUGACACGCACAAAUCGAGAAAUGGUCCAAAUUUUUUUGUCGAUCACUCCUUUUUACUUGUUAGACACCUUCUUAUUCAAGUUGUGUUAUGUGCUUACCGUUUCUUUUUGAUGUCUCUUCAUGAUUCUACCAUGUUGUGUUUGUUUAUAUUUGGUGAAGUGCAAAUAAGUAGAAUGCAGUAGAAUGCAAAAGAAGAGAAACACAAGAAAAGGAAAUAAGAUGAUAGGCAUCGGAAUUCGAGUAGUGCACAAUUCCAUGAUCAUCCAACUUCCAAUUUACCUCAAUGACUUUCUUUGGUCACCUCUUGUAGGUAAUCAGCUCCUGCAGGUGUCGCAACAAUCACCUUUUUAAGCCCAUGAGUCUUCUUCAUCACGCAUUGACCCAUCCAGUGUGAUUAAAUUGGAUUUUAUUCUUGUAAAGUGUAAACACACUCACACAACCAGAGAGACACAAUAUUUAGAUUGGAGAUUUCUGCUGCCAGCUGAAUGUUACUUUGUGAAGUUCAAAUUAAAUAUUACCUGCUUUGCUAAAGCAACGAGGUCAAUAUAAGAACAUUAUUGCAGAGGAGUUUGGAAUGUGCAAUGGAGGUCAGACUCACAGUUACGGUCCUUACGGAUUAAGUUUCAGAAAUAAGAGGUAAUAAGAGAUUAAAUAAGAAGAAUAUCCGAUGGAUAACUGAAGAGAGAUUGCAAAAUAAGAGCGAAAUUCAAGAAAAGGAAAUGCGAUGAUUGACAUCGGAUUUUGAGUACUGCAGAACUCCCCAAAAUGGUAAUCAGGUGUCACCACAGUCACCUUUUAAGUCCAUGAGCCUCCUUCAUGCACAUUUGCCCAGUCCAAUGGUAAUCAGCUCCUGCAGGUGUCGCAACAAUCACCUUUUUAAGCCCAUGAGUCUUCUUCAUCACGCAUUGACCCAUCCAGUGUGAUUAAAUUGGAUUUUAUUCUUGUAAAGUGUAAACACACUCACACAACCAGAGAGACACAAUAUUUAGAUCGGAGAUUUCUGCUGCCAGCUGAAUGUUACUUUGUGAAGUUCAAAUUAAAUAUUACCUGCUUUGCUAAAGCAACGAGGUCAAUAUAAGGUUAGACAAUCAUUUCUUUUUUUCUUUUUUUUUGUUUUUUUGAGUAAAAGCCAAUCAUUCCUUUUUUCUAGCCCUUCGGUCUUAAUAUUGUUUUCUUUUUGGUUACAUAGAGGUAAGUGAAGCCCAUGUUCACUAAGGUCUGUAGACACGCCCGUUGUACCUUACUAAAUUGUAGCUAAGAUGUAAUUGAAAACAUGUUUAGGAGAAGUUCCUUUUAAAGAUUGCUUUCUAAUUUAUAAACCAUAAUAAAUAUUGUGCCGGACAAAUAAGCACCAAGUUUUCUUUACUUCACUUUAGAUAACACACCAGCCUGUUUUUCUUCUAAUUGAUGCUUGUAGUGUGGGGCAUGAGGAAGGUUUUUUGCCAUGGGAGGUUUACUGCAAGUUUUGUUGCUAAAUAAGUGUGCUUGUUACUACAGUUUGUAAGAGAUAACAAAAUAAAAGGAAUAGGGUACUUGAAGUAAUUGAUUUUAUGUUACUCAAUUCAGCUUAAAAAAGCAUAAGAAUUAUCUUUAGAAUAAAGUUCGUACGCAAAGAUUUAUUUACCUAUUAUUUCUAUUAUGACGUUGGUAAUAGUGUGAUGUUUUGAAGUAUCCCACAUAGGAAACUUAUGAAACAUUUGUCAUAUAUAUAAAAGUGUACCAAAUUGUGUAAGUUACGACCUUACUUGAACAGGAUCUGUUCUAUAGGCUCGUACCUCUGUAACCUUAGGUUCUAAGGAGACAGGAAACCAAGUCUGGUGGAUGAAUUAUAACCGUGCGAUUAGAGCGUGAUUAACAGCUACCGUUGAUCUAGGUCAUUUGGUGCAGUAGAGGAUCGUUUCCUAGUACACUGUACCGGGGGUGAUCGCACGGUGUUCUGACAGACUGUCUUUUUUAUUUUUGCUGCAGAUUGAAACUUCACAAAAUAUUUACAAAAUAGGUAAAUUUGUUAAAAUAUAAUUUAUAAUAUUCUCUAAAAUAGACAAUUGUAAUAAAACUUUAGAGAAUAUAUAUCAAUCUAAUUCCAACAAAUUUACAUAUUUCGUAAAUUUAACUUAUAUAUCUGAUGUAUAGAUUUAAAAAACCAAUAUAUAUAUAUAUAUAUAUAAGUCAAAACACCUCU